GCCCAUAGAACCGCUUGGCGAAAAGUUGUGAAAUUUGGCACACUGGUUCAGGACAGCCCCAUUAGCCCAUUAAGCCAAUCUCAGGUCGCUAGCCCAACAGCUCUAGCGCCACCAACAGGUCAAAGUUGGACAUGCAUUCAUGUUCAUAACUUUCGACUUAUUCGACCAAUAUUCACAAACCAGGUAUCAUUGGAUUCCUUGAACCAAGCCCAGUUCAACACACCCUAUGACGUCAUUGCGCCAUGACGUAUAUGUCCGCCAUCUUGGUUUAUGUCAAAAACCCUCAAAAUGCUACUUCUAUCACAAAUCUUGUCCAAUCAUCUCGAAAC
ensembl:lncRNA